rnacentral:rRNA from 1 species
GAUGAACGCUGGCGGCGUGCCUAAUACAUGCAAGUCGAGCGAACAGAUAAGGAGCUUGCUCCUUUGACGUUAGCGGCGGACGGGUGAGUAACACGUGGGUAACCUACCUAUAAGACUGGGAUAACUUCGGGAAACCGGAGCUAAUACCGGAUAAUAUUUCGAACCGCAUGGUUCGAUAGUGAAAGAUGGUUUUGCUAUGCCUUAUAGAUGGACCCGCGCCGUAUUAGCUAGUUGGUAAGGUAACGGCUUACCAAGGCGACGAUACGUAGCCGACCUGAGAGGGUGAUCGGCCACACUGGAACUGAGACACGGUCAAGACUCCUACGGGAGGCAGCAGUAGGGAAUCUUCCGCAAUGGGCGAAAGCCUGACGGAGCAACGCCGCGUGAGUGAUGAAGGUCUUCGGAUCGUAAAACUCUGUUAUUAGGGAAGAACAUACGUGUAAGUAACUGUGCACGUCUUGACGGUACCUAAUCAGAAAGCCACGGCUAACUACGUG